CCUACGGGUGGCAGCAGUGGGGAAUAUUGGGCAAUGGUCGCAAGGCUGACCCAGCAACGCCGCGUGAAGGAAGAAGGCUUUCGGGUUGUAAACUUCUUUUGACAGGGAAGAGCAGAAGACGGUACCUGUCGAAUAAGCCACGGCUAAUUACGUGCAAGCCGCCGCGGUAAUACGGAGGUGGCAAGCGUUGUACGGAUUUACUGGGUGUUAAGGGUGUGUAGCCGGGCUGACAAGUAAGAUGUGAAAUCCGGGGGCUAAACCCCCGAACUGCAUUUGAAACUGUUGGUCUUGUGAAUCUGAGAGGCAGGCGGAAUUCCUAGUGUAGCGGUGAAAUGCGUAGAUAUUAGGAGGAACACCAGUGGCGAAGGCGGCCUGCUGGACGACAACUGACGGUGAGGCGCGAAAGCGUGGGGAGCAAACAGGAUUAGAUACCCGUGUAGUC
rnacentral:rRNA from 1 species